AGAACGAACGCUGGCGGCAGGCUUAACACAUGCAAGUCGAACGCUCGUAGCAAUACGGGAGUGGCAGACGGGUGAGUAACACGUGGGAACAUACCCCUCGGUUCGGAAUAACUCAGGGAAACUUGAGCUAAUACCGGAUACGGCCGGGAGGCGAAAGAUUUAUCGCCGAGGGAUUGGCCCGCGUCCGAUUAGCUAGUUGGUGUGGUAACGGCGCACCAAGGCGACGAUCAGUAGCUGGUCUGAGAGGAUGAUCAGCCACAUUGGGACUGAGACACGGCCCAAACUCCUACGGGAGGCAGCAGUGGGGAAUAUUGGACAAUGGGCGCAAGCCUGAUCCAGCCAUGCCGCGUGAGUGAUGAAGGCCCUAGGGUUGUAAAGCUCUUUGUGCGGGAAGAUAAUGACGGUACCGCAAGAAUAAGCCCCGGCUAACUUCGUGCCAGCAGCCGC
rnacentral:rRNA from 1 species